rnacentral:tRNA from 2 species
AAGGGUUUAGCUUAAUUAAAGUGUCUGAUUUGCAUUCAGGCGAUGUAAGUUGUAGGCUUGCAAUCCUUA